AUUGAACGCUGGCGGCAUGCCUUACACAUGCAAGUCGAACGGUAACGCGGGGCAACCUGGCGACGAGUGGCGAACGGGUGAGUAAUGCAUCGGAACGUGCCUAGUAGUGGGGGAUAGCCCGGCGAAAGCCGGAUUAAUACCGCAUACGACCUCAGGGUGGAAGCGGGGGAUCGCAAGACCUCGCGCUAUUGGAGCGGCCGAUGUCAGAUUAGGUAGUUGGUGAGGUAAAGGCUCACCAAGCCUUCGAUCUGUAGCUGGUCUGAGAGGACGACCAGCCACACUGGGACUGAGACACGGCCCAGACUCCUAUGGGAGGCAGCAGUGGGGAAUUUUGGACAAUGGGCGCAAGCCUGAUCCAGCCAUGCCGCGUGCGGGAAGAAGGCCUUCGGGUUGUAAACCGCUUUUGUCAGGGAAGAAAAGCUCUGGGCUAAUACCUCAGGGUAAUGACGGUACCUGAAGAAUAAGCACCGGCUAACUACGUGCCAACCGCCGCCGUAACAC
rnacentral:rRNA from 1 species